rnacentral:rRNA from 1 species
CCUACGGUAGGCAGCAGUGGGGAAUAUUGCACAAUGGGGGGAACCCUGAUGCAGCGACGCCGCGUGAGUGAAGAAGUAUUUCGGUAUGUAAAGCUCUAUUAGCAGGGAAGAAAAUGACGGUACCUGACUACGAAGCCCCGGCUAACUACGUGCCAGCAGCCGCGGUAAUACGUAGGGGGCAAGCGUUAUCCGGAUUUACUGGGUGUAAAGGGAGCGUAGACGGUUAUGCAAGUCUGAAGUGAAAGCCUAAGGCUCAACCAUGGGACUGCUUUGGAAACUGUAAGACUGGAGUGCAGGAGAGGUAAGCGGAAUUCCUGGUGUAGCGGUGAAAUGCGUAGAUAUGAGGAGGAACACCAGUGGCGAAGGCGGCUUACUGGACUGUAACUGACGUUGAGGCUCGAAAGCGUGGGGAGCAAACAGGAUUAGAUACCCCUGUAGUC